rnacentral:tRNA from 1 species
AGACCCAGGAACCGAAAUCCUUCCCCAAAUUUGCAAUUUGGGAUUUGCUGGGCC